CUUGUACUUUGUUAUCUUGAAUAGGAAAAGAUAAAAAUGCUAUACUCAAUCACAGCUCAACACCAUCAGAAGUGCAAAUACUUUACUUUACAGGUUGCUUUAUGACAGAUGAAAUAGAGUUCUGAUGCCUAAAUGCAACACCUAAAUUCCCCCUCUGGUAAACAUCACAUAACUGUACAUAGAGGUUGAACUUGGAUUCUGAAGGGACAAAAAACGUACAAGCCAAGUAUAACCCACCACCCAGAAAAUCAGGGUGCUGAGGGUUUCUUUCAGAGUUUGAAAAAUGGACAAGAAGAGCCACUCUGCUUCAAUUCAAUGGGUUCCAUUUGCUGGGUAUCCCAUCAACACCAGCAGCCAAAUCCUUUUGGUAGUCAUUUUAGUGACUGCCUUUCUAAGAGAUCAGGGCUCUGGCGGGCUAGCUAUCCACUAUCUUCUGUAGUCUAGUAAUGAAAGCAUAGGAGGCCAUGCAUAAUCAUGGUGCCGUGCAAAAGAUAAGACCAGUUCCAACUUCCAGUCACCAUUCUGGAGGGCUUGGUCGUCACUUGCUUGUAGCUGUAUCACCAGAUCUCAACUCCCUUUCAAGCUCAUCAAACUCCCAGUCACCAAUCUCUUCUGUUGAGUAAUCCCGAGCAUCCUUCCCAAACUCUGACUCCAGCUUUGCUAGUUCAGCUGCAGGAUCAAGCAUCUGAUGUUCCUCAACUGCAGGUGCUUUGGGUUCCACAUCUGUCCCAGAUUUUGGUGAACUAGGAUUCUGCAUCAAUUUACGGGGACUUGCCACUUCCAGUGGCUUCUCAGAUGCAGUCUCUGACUUAGGGGUCGGCGGAGUCUCAAUUUCUAGAUUUGGUCUCUCAACUGAUUCAAAUUCCUUUCUCAACUUCUCAAUAUCAUCAAAUAGUUCUUUAA